rnacentral:tRNA from 1 species
ACUCACUUAACUCAGCGGUUAGAGUUCCAAGCUUAUACCUUGGCGGUCGUAGGUUCAAAUCCUGCAGUGAGUA